AGCGGGUGGUAUUCAGAACAGCGUGAGCAAAAGAAUUUCUUCAGGCACGUGUUAAACAUGCAGAUUUCUUGGACCGCAUGCCAGACCUGCUAAAUCAGAUUCUUUCGGAACUUGUGUUCUUAACCUGCUCUUGCGUAUGCAUUGUAGAGGGCCAUUAAAUUUUUGAUGAGUACAACUUUUUAACCAAAAGAUACUUUUCUAUCUGACCAGGUUAUCAAGUGCAAGGCUGCAGUUGCUUGGGAGGCUGGAAAGCCACUCUCCAUAGAGGAGAUAGAGGUGGCACCCCCAAAGGCUCAUGAAGUUCGAAUCAAGAUCAUUGCCACUGCGGUUUGCCACACCGAUGCCUAUACCCUGAGCGGAGCUGAUCCUGAGGGUUGUUUUCCAGUGAUCUUGGGACAUGAAGGUGCUGGAAUUGUGGAAAGUGUUGGUGAGGGAGUUACUAAGCUGAAGGCGGGUGACACUGUCAUCCCACUUUACAUCCCACAGUGUGGAGAAUGCAAAUUUUGUCUAAAUCCUAAAACUAACCUUUGCCAGAAGAUAAGAGUCACUCAAGGGAAAGGAUUAAUGCCAGAUGGUACCAGCAGAUUUACUUGCAAAGGAAAGACAGUUUUGCAUUACAUGGGAACCAGCACAUUUUCUGAAUACACAGUUGUGGCUGAUAUCUCUGUUGCUAAAAUAGAUCCUUUAGCACCUUUGGAUAAAGUCUGCCUUCUAGGUUGUGGCAUUUCAACUGGUUAUGGGGCUGCUGUGAACACUGCCAAGGUGGAGCCUGGCUCUGUUUGUGCCGUCUUUGGUCUGGGAGGAGUUGGAUUGGCAGUUAUCAUGGGCUGUAAAGUGGCUGGUGCAUCCCGGAUCAUUGGUGUGGACAUCAAUAAAGAUA
rnacentral:sRNA from 1 species